UACGUAGGGUGCAAGCGUUGUCCGGAAUUAUUGGGCGUAAAGGGCUCGUAGGCGGUUUGUCGCGUCGGGAGUGAAAACACCGGGCUUAACUCGGUGCUUGCUUCCGAUACGGGCAGACUAGAGGUAUGCAGGGGAGAACGGAAUUCCUGGUGUAGCGGUGAAAUGCGCAGAUAUCAGGAGGAACACCGGUGGCGAAGGCGGUUCUCUGGGCAUGUCCUGACGCUGAGGAGCGAAAGUGUGGGGAGCGAACAGG
rnacentral:rRNA from 1 species